rnacentral:siRNA from 1 species
UAAAGAAACUUCUUUUUCUGA